GAGACCUCGCUCCGCGCACCGCUGCCUCCCCGUCAGUGAGCACGUGCUGCGGCGGAGCGCACCGACGGCGGCUCUCCCGCACAGCUCGGCACCCGAGAGAGACCCCGGAGCUGCCACCAGCACCCAGGCCACACAAGGAAGCAGAUUGGACCAAACUUCUUCCCACAGCCGGCAUCACUGGGAGGCUCCUCGGGCAACCCCAGCUGUCUGAAAAGCUAUCUGAAGAAACCAGCCCGGAGAUCCCCACUGCUGCAGUGGGCACACGGCCCGGGCUCAUCACUCCCCUGCCCUCCCCGACGCCGUGUGCAGAGCAAAACCAACCUCCUGGCAACAGGAUGCUGCCGUCGGCAUUUUCAGGCUGUAGGACACCGCUACUGGAAACGGUGCAAAGAGGCGUUGCCUACCUUCUGCUUGUGUGAAAGCCCAAAGAUGGCAGAAGCUUAGGUCAAGCUUCUAGAUAUCAUGCUGCAAAGCUACCAGGCAACCUUGGCAUAAACCCUCCGCCCGGCUCCUGGCCAGGUUUCUGCAUCUCACACAGCACUCAACCCUUGCAGUGCACAUGCUGCCAGUGCCAGGUACUAUUAAAGGCAGGCAGCUGCAGCUCGAAGCAAACGCUAGCCAAAGGUGAUACCUCCAACUCUGCCUGAGAAUGAUACAUUCAAUUCAGAGUACUGAACAGCAAACAAGGGGCUGAGAUGUCCUCCUAAAUCUACAACCUGACCCUACUUUUGCUGGGAACAUAUCAUAACACACUUGUGAGGAUAAUCCAGGGAGGCACAAGAGCAGUGAAGAUGCCAGGGUGAGGUACUUGUUAUUGGGGACACUUGUCCUUUGCACAGUUUUGCCUUGUUCAGAGGAAGUUUACUGUUUCCUCUGCCCUAAAAGCUAAGUAACUCAUAAAACAGUCAGCUCUCAGCUGGCCACUCGCAGCCUGACCAGGCUCCGUGGUUGACCACUGAAUGACCAUUUGCUCCAUGUUGCUUCUUGGAGGCAGCUAUACCAUCACUGGUUAUCUUGUACUUCUGCUUAGCUACAGCCCAAUCAAAGAGCCGGACGUAGAGGGUCCAGCCAGCUACAAGGCUCCAUGAACUCUCCUUCCCGGCCCUGGCUGGCCCAUGCAGAUGGCCUCUGCAUGCCUUCAGGCCCAGUGCCCAAAACUUGAAUAAUCAGGGCAAAACUCAACGCCCAGGAUGACGCAGCCAUCACUGCCAACUCCAUGAGCAGCCCUGGAAGCACAAGAUUGCCUGCUGCCAGAGGGAGACCCCACCACCCUCGUUGGUCCAAAACAAGUCUCCUAAGCGGGCUGUCCCCACCAGCACGGCCAUGGGAUGAGCUCCAUCAGCAAGCCAAGCCCAGCCUCCGCUGUCAAGUUCAUGUUUGUUCCACCUGAAAAGUUCUUUGUGAGGGAGAAAUUUCUGCUUUGAAGCCCGCAAGCACAGAGAAACGGCCACGGUUUGCAGCAGCCUCAAAUUCAGAGCCAGCUGAGCUUGGGCAAGGUCUCCGGGCAUAGGUAGCUACCCAGAGCAUCUCCAGAAUCUGCCUGGAUUUGCCCAGCACCAAGCCUGCCCCGGACAGCCCUCGCUGGUGCUCCAGGAAGCCCAAGAACAACGUUUGACCUGCAAACAACGCGGCGAGCACAAGGUGCUCCCUGCUCUCUGCGCGCUUUCUACCGCCAAUGAGGCAGAAAGCACUUAAUGUUGGAGCAGAAAUGCCCGGCGUCCCCACUGCCCAGGAUACCACCUUCGCAGUGGCCAUCCCACGUGCCUAGGGACGCUGCAUUCGCUCCCAGGCGCCUCCUGCGCCCCGUAAAGCCGGCGCACUAAAAGCACUAUAACAAACCCACCAAAAACCAAAACAAAAAAAAUCAAUUAAAAAAUACAUUUAAAAUACACCCUCUCCACUUUAAAACACAAAAGAUGAGCAAAGGCAGAUUGUAGUUGGGAGGAAAAUGAAAGCCACAAGAUUUUUCACUCCCCUAUAGAAAAGUAACUAACUAACUAAAUAAAUAAACCAAACAGAAAA